AUUGAACGCUGGCGGCAGGCCUAACACAUGCAAGUCGAGCGGAUGAAGGGAGCUUGCUCCUGGAUUCAGCGGCGGACGGGUGAGUAAUGCCUAGGAGUCUGCCUGGUAGUGGGGGAUAACGUCCGGAAACGGGCGCUAAUACCGCAUACGUCCUGAGGGAGAAAGUGGGGGAUCUUCGGACCUCACGCUAUCAGAUGAGCCUAGGUCGGAUUAGCUAGUUGGUGGGGUAAAGGCCUACCAAGGCGACGAUCCGUAACUGGUCUGAGAGGAUGAUCAGUCACACUGGAACUGAGACACGGUCCAGACUCCUACGGGAGGCAGCAGUGGGGAAUAUUGGACAAUGGGCGAAAGCCUGAUCCAGCCAUGCCGCGUGCGUGAAGAAGGUCUUCGGAUUGUAAAGCACUUUAAGUUGGGAGGAAGGGCAGUAAGUUAAUACCUUGCUGUUUUGACGUUACCAACAGAAUAAGCACCGGCUAACUUCGUG
rnacentral:rRNA from 1 species